AGGAAUAUUGGUCAAUGGACGAGAGUCUGAACCAGCCAAGUAGCGUGAAGGAUGAAGGUCCUACGGAUUGUAAACUUCUUUUAUAAGGGAAUAAACCCUCCCACGUGUGGGAGCUUGUAUGUACCUUAUGAAUAAGCAUCGGCUAACUCCGUGCCAGCAGCCGCGGUAAUACGGAGGAUGCGAGCGUUAUCCGGAUUUAUUGGGUUUAAAGGGAGCGCAGACGGGUCGUUAAGUCAGCUGUGAAAGUUUGGGGCUCAACCUUAAAAUUGCAGUUGAUACUGGCGUCCUUGAGUGCGGUUGAGGUGUGCGGAAUUCGUGGUGUAGCGGUGAAAUGCUUAGAUAUCACGAAGAACUCCGAUUGCGAAGGCAGCACACUAAGCCGUAACUGACGUUCAUGCUCGAAAGUGUGGGUAUCAAACAGGAUUAGAUACCCUGGUAGUCCACACGGUAAACGAUGGAUACUCGCUGUUGGCGAUAUACUGUCAGCGGCUUAGCGAAAGCGUUAAGUAUCCCACCUGGGGAGUACGCCGGCAACGGUGAAACUCAAAGGAAUUGACGGGGGCCCGCACAAGCGGAGGAACAUGUGGUUUAAUUCGAUGAUACGCGAGGAACCUUACCCGGGCUUAAAUUGCAAAGGAAUAAUCUGGAAACAGAUUAGUCUUCGGACCUUUGUGAAGGUGCUGCAUGGUUGUCGUCAGCUCGUGCCGUGAGGUGUCGGCUUAAGUGCCAUAACGAGCGCAACCCUCGCCGCCAGUUACUAACAGUUAAAGCUGAGGACUCUGGCGGGACUGCCAUCGUAAGAUGUGAGGAAGGUGGGGAUGACGUCAAAUCAGCACGGCCCUUACGUCCGGGGCUACACACGUGUUACAAUGGGCGGUACAGAAGGCAGCUACCUGGCGACAGGAUGCCAAUCCCUAAAGCCGCUCUCAGUUCGGACUGGAGUCUGCAACCCGACUCCACGAAGCUGGAUUCGCUAGUAAUCGCGCAUCAGCCACGGCGCGGUGAAUACGUUCCCG
rnacentral:rRNA from 1 species